UGUCUUGAUGAAGUAUUUUUCAUUAUGGAAAAAUGCAUCAGAAAAUCAAUAUCAAGUCAUCAAUAUCAAGCAUUGAUGGCACAUGUAUGUGCUGUUAUAAACAUGUCAUGUGGUUUGCUUGAAGAAAAAUUUUGUGGACAGUUGCGCAAUACAUUUAGACACGGCUAUUCUGCAGGCUAUUUAGAUUUAGCCCAAGCUUACAAUGUUUUGCCGACAAGUAUUCAGCAAGGAUCUAUUCAUACGUCAGAUACAGAACUUGCAAGAUUAAUGUUUCUGGCAUACUUGAAUAAUGCAGAAAUAAUUAGUAUAGAAACUCAGAAGUGUAGUUUAACAUCAAUGAAUACUUUUACUGAUAGAUGAACAUGAUCAUUUGCUUUGACAAUUCUAGUUGGAAUAAUAAGUUUUUAAAAAUAGCCUAACAGAACCAAAUUACUUUACACUGGUAGGCAUAAUGACAGUAUACGUAACUGCUUGUUUGGAAAAAUUAGUCUUGAAAUCUACGUUUAAUAGGGCUGGUGAGCUCAUCAUAUUUGAUAAAGAAGUUUGAUCUUUUGCAAGUUAUUUGGCUACAAUGACUUUGUGAUUUAUUAGAGACAAAUUUGCCAGGCUUACGUAAACACCACAAUUGUGGGUAUCGAAAAAAUGAAAGAACUUGCUGAUUAUUGUGGUGCAGAUGCUAUAGCAAGGUGUUUAACGCCAACUGAAGUGAGAAAGAUUUUAGCUUUAAGGAUAGAUAUUAAAAGAUUCAAAAUUUAAUAGUAUCAUAAUAACCAAGGCAAAUUGUUGGAUUUUGUAUUUAGUGCUGUUUACAGUUUCACUGUAAUAAACUAACAAAAGACUCGAAACAAGCUUAUAAAAACAAUAUUAAUAAAGUUUCAUGACCUACAUGUUUCUUUCUUCUGUAAAAUAGUUACUUUAGGCAACAGAGAAAUAUAACAACAAAUUAAUUUAAAAAUAUUUUAUAAAGUAAAAAAGGAACAAUAUAGUCUUGUCUGA